CACCAUGCCCGGCCAUACCGCCCUGAAAGUGCCAGGUCUCAUCUGAUCUCGUAAGCUAAGCAGAGUUGGGCUCGGUUAGUACUUGGAUGGGAGCGCUAUGUUUUCAAGUAGGAAGACCACGUUAGGAGUGGAGA
ensembl:rRNA 5S_rRNA 5S ribosomal RNA